UAAACGACUCUCGGCAACGGAUAUCUCGGCUCUCGCAUCGAUGAAGAACGUAGCGAAAUGCGAUACUUGGUGUGAAUUGCAGAAUCCCGUGAACCAUCGAGUCUUUGAACGCAAGUUGCGCCCGAAGCCAAUAGGCCGAGGGCACGCCUGCCUGGGCGUCACAC
rnacentral:rRNA from 1 species